UGCAUUGAUGGCUCAGUGAGGCGUCCGGACUGGCCCAGAGAGGUGGGCAACUACCACUCAGGGCCGGAAAGCUCUCCAAACUCGGUCAUUUAGAGGAAGUAAAAGUCGUAACAAGGUCUCCGUUGGUGAACCAGCGGAGGGAUCAUUACCGAGUUAUACAACUCCCAAACCCACUGUGAACCUUACCUCAGUUGCCUCGGCGGGAACGCCCCGGCCGCCUGCCCCCGCGCCGGCGCCGGACCCAGGCGCCCGCCGCAGGGACCCCAAACUCUCUUGCAUUACGCCCAGCGGGCGGAAUUUCUUCUCUGAGUUGCACAAGCAAAAACAAAUGAAUCAAAACUUUCAACAACGGAUCUCUUGGUUCUGGCAUCGAUGAAGAACGCAGCGAAAUGCGAUAAGUAAUGUGAAUUGCAGAAUUCAGUGAAUCAUCGAAUCUUUGAACGCACAUUGCGCCCGCCAGCAUUCUGGCGGGCAUGCCUGUUCGAGCGUCAUUUCAACCCUCGAGCCCCCCCGGGGGCCUCGGUGUUGGGGGACGGCACACCAGCCGCCCCCGAAAUGCAGUGGCGACCCCGCCGCAGCCUCCCCUGCGUAGUAGCACACACCUCGCACCGGAGCGCGGAGGCGGUCACGCCGUAAAACGCCCAACUUUCUUAGAGUUGACCUCGGAUCAGGUAGGAAUACCCGCUGAACUUAAGCAUAUCAAUAAGCGGAGGAAAAGAAACCAACAGGGAUUGCCCCAGUAACGGCGAGUGAAGCGGCAACAGCUCAAAUUUGAAAUCUGGCCCCCAGGGCCCGAGUUGUAAUUUGCAGAGGAUGCUUUUGGCGCGGUGCCUUCCGAGUUCCCUGGAACGGGACGCCAUAGAGGGUGAGAGCCCCGUCUGGUCGGACGCCUAGCC
rnacentral:rRNA from 1 species